UGAGUGUGCGUUUCCGGCACUACGUUGGCUCUCUCUGGGGUUACACAUGUUACUAUAGGGGAGUAGGGAGUGAGGCUCUUUUUCUUGUGGGUGUUCUUUAAACAGGGGCAGACAGCGAGAUGAGGCUACUAAAAUUAGGGAAUUACCUAAGAUUUUGAGGAGUCCCCCCUACGUCAGUGAUCAAGAUUGGUAAUGAUUGCCGGGGAUGGUUAUCCAGUUAUGAUGGAGAGGAGAAGGAGAUAAUAAAGUGCCAGCAUCUGCGGUUAAACUUUGCCUUCGAGUUAAUGAAUCCUUGUGGAGUGGUUUAGGAAGGUUUGAAAACAGGAUUUCUUCUUAUUUCGGUGAAAUGUGUAAUGGAGGAAGUUUUUGGGGUUUGUAUUCCUUUUGCCAAGAAGGCUGUCUUGAAAGACGGGGAUUAGAUACCCUCUUAUUUAUGCUGUCAUGAUGGAUCCAUGGGAAGUACGGGUUAAUAUGCUUGAAAUCUAAGGAAGUUGGCGGUGAUCUCACAUCAGGUGAGGGGAACUUGGCGGUUGAUUCGAUAGACCUCGAAGACUUUACCUUUUGUUUUCUUAGCCUACCGCCGUUGUCAGUAGUCUUUUUGAUAAGGCAGAGGGCUGCUAGGAACAUAAAUCAUUCUGUUUUUGAUGAACUGUUCGAAUUCAGGUAAUGGUGUUGGUUACCAGAAGGGCUUAGCUGAGUUACAUUUAUGAAAUAAUGACGGAAGUAGGGUUGAAAUAGUCCUAUUGAAGGUGUACUUCACAGUAAUAUUUUUAAGUGAGGAUUUGUGAAUAAGUUCUGGGUCGUGUACAAAUCGCCCGGCACCCCUGUAUAGUUAAGUCUGGGUAAGUCGUAACACAGUAAUGCUAUCAUAAGGUGGUUUUACAGAA
rnacentral:ncRNA from 1 species